AUGCUAGCAGGUAAAUAUGUGGCACUGACAUCCUUAAAGGCAUAUUCUCAAGAUGCAGGUGUAAUUUGUUCAGAGGGUCUCAUCUGAGAAGGAACUCCAGAGAAGGAGAAGAAAGAGAAAAAAUGGCUUUUCUUCAGGGGCCAUUGCAAUUUAGAGAUGUGGCCAUAGAAUUCUCUCUGAAGGAGUGUCAUUGUCUGGAUACUGCACAGUGAAAUUUAUAUAGGGAUAUGAUGUUAGAGAACUACAGAAACCUUGUCUUUCUUGUUAUUGUUGUCUCUAAGCCAGACCUGAUCACCUGUCUGGAAUAAGAAAAAAAA
rnacentral:lncRNA from 1 species